UACGUAGGUGGUGAGCGUUGUCCGGAUUUACUGGGCGUAAAGGGAGCGUAGGCGGACUUUUAAGUGAGAUGUGAAAUACCCGGGCUCAACUUGGGUGCUGCAUUUCAAACUGGAAGUCUAGAGUGCAGGAGAGGAGAAUGGAAUUCCUAGUGUAGCGGUGAAAUGCGUAGAGAUUAGGAAGAACACCAGUGGCGAAGGCGAUUCUCUGGACUGUAACUGACGCUGAGGCUCGAAAGCGUGGGGAGCAAACAGG
rnacentral:rRNA from 1 species